rnacentral:lncRNA from 1 species
CAUCAUCUCAGGAUCAAGUUUCGUUCAAAAUAACCAACAUUUAAAUAUCCACAAUAUAUCUAUCAUAAAUUAACUAGUAAAUCACAUUUGCCAACAUUGUAACUCUUUUUUUUGUUUUCUUAAGUUACAAGUGAUACACUCAACCAACAUUAUUACUAUAAUAUAACUGAACAAAUAACAAAAUUAACCUCAAAUCCAAAUUCGAAAUCAAACUCAGACUCAACUCGAACCACCACAACCAUCUUCCUAGUCACUGUCACUCGAGCUCGAGCUCGAGCUCUCUCUUUCCUUCUCUUCUUUUUCUUGUGCUCGACCUUCCUCUCCAUCUUGACGGCGGUCUUUUCCACGACGAUUUCCACCACGGCCGCGGCUCAUCUUCUUCUUGAUUUUUUGCAUGAACCCCUUCGGAUGCUGACCGUCGCCGCCGUGCUCCGCCUUGUGCUUACUCUCCUCCUCCUUGCGGCCGACGUGGAGCACGUCCUUCACUUUCUGCUCUAUCUUCUGAAUCAUUCCCGACAUUUUAGUUUCUAUGUUUUUUUUCUUCUCCUUUGAUCCCUUGUCAGAAACUAGAUACUAUUUAUGAAUGCACACAAAUUACAUCACAGCUCAGAAUGAGAGUACAAAGUAAAUAAUUAGAGCCAAUCAGGGAUAAUAUUAUAUUUGCCAUAACAAAGAUAAAUUAUAUUCCCCCCUAAAAAAAAGAUAAAUUAUAUUCAAUAAAUAGAUUUUUUUAUACACAUUAUGAAUUUUUAUUUUUAUUUUGGCUAAACGUGUGUACGUAGUCACCUCAAUAUAAUUAAACAUCA